GCUUGAUAUUAAUAUAUUAUUUAGUUGAAUUUAAAAAAUAAAAACUUAAUAAUUAAAUUUAUUUUAUUGGGGUGAUAAAAGUAAAAUGAUUAUUAACUGCUUAAUGUUAGAUACAUCUUUACAUGAUUAAUUUUUAAAUGAUCCUAGCUAAAGAUUAAAAGUUUAAGUU
rnacentral:rRNA from 1 species